rnacentral:rRNA from 1 species
GAUGAACGCUAGCGGCAGGCUUAACACAUGCAAGUCGAGGGGUAUUGGUUUUCGGACCAAGAGACCGGCGCACGGGUGCGUAACGCGUAUGCAAUCUACCUUUUGCAGAGGGAUAGCCCAGAGAAAUUUGGAUUAAUACCUCAUAGUAUAGUAGUUUCGCAUGAAACGACUAUUAAAGUUCCAACGGCAAAAGAUGAGCAUGCGUCCCAUUAGCUAGUUGGUAAGGUAACGGCUUACCAAGGCAACGAUGGGUAGGGGUCCUGAGAGGGAGAUCCCCCACACUGGUACUGAGACACGGACCAGACUCCUACGGGAGGCAGCAGUGAGGAAUAUUGGACAAUGGGCGCAAGCCUGAUCCAGCCAUGCCGCGUGCAGGAUGACGGUCCUAUGGAUUGUAAACUGCUUUUGUACAGGAAGAAACACUCCCUCGUGAGGGAGCUUGACGGUACUGUAAGAAUAAGGAUCGGCUAACUCCGUGCCAGCAGCCGCGGUAA